rnacentral:rRNA from 1 species
GUGGGGAAUAUUGCACAAUGGGGGAAACCCUGAUGCAGCGACGCCGCGUGAGUGAAGAAGUAUUUCGGUAUGUAAAGCUCUAUCAGCAGGAAAGAAAAUGACGGUACCUGACUAAGAAGCCCCGGCUAACUACGUGCCAGCAGCCGCGGUAAUACGUAGGGGGCAAGCGUUAUCCGGAUUUACUGGGUGUAAAGGGAGCGUAGACGGUGAAGCAAGUCUGAAGUGAAAGGCGGGGGCUCAACCCCCGGACUGCUUUGGAAACUGUUUGACUGGAGUGCAGGAGAGGUAAGUGGAAUUCCUAGUGUAGCGGUGAAAUGCGUAGAUAUUAGGAGGAACACCAGUGGCGAAGGCGGCUUACUGGACUGUAACUGACGUUGAGGCUCGAAAGCGUGGGGAGCAAACAGG